rnacentral:rRNA from 1 species
ACGGCUCAGUAACACGUGGAUAACCUGCCCUUGGGUCCGGCAUAACCCCGGGAAACUGGGGAUAAUUCCGGAUAACGCACAUAUGCUGGAAUGCUUUAUGCGUAAAAUGGAUUCGUCUGCCCAAGGAUGGGUCUGCGGCCUAUCAGGUAGUAGUGGGUGUAAUGUACCUACUAGCCAACAACGGGUACGGGUUGUGAGAGCAAGAGCCCGGAGAUGGAUUCUGAGACAUGAAUCCAGGCCCUACGGGGCGCAGCAGGCGCGAAAACUUUACAAUGCGGGAAACCGUGAUAAGGGGACACCGAGUGCCAGCAUCAUAUGCUGGCUGUCCAGAUGUGUAAAAUACAUCUGUUAGCAAGGGCCGGGCAAGACCGGUGCCAGCCGCCGCGGUAACACCGGCGGCCCGAGUGGUGAUCGUGAUUAUUGGGUCUAAAGGGUCCGUAGCCGGUUUGGUCAGUCCUCCGGGAAAUCUGAUAGCUCAACUAUUAGGCUUUCGGGGGAUACUGCCAGGCUUGGAACCGGGAGAGGUAAGAGGUACUACAGGGGUAGGAGUGAAAUCUUGUAAUCCCUGUGGGACCACCUGUGGCGAAGGCGUCUUACCAGAACGGGUUCGACGGUGAGGGACGAAAGCUGGGGGCACGAACCGGAUUAGAUACCCGGGUAGUCCCAGCCGUAAACGAUGCUCGCUAGGUGUCAGGCAUGGCGCGACCGUGUCUGGUGCCGCAGGGAAGCCGUGAAGCGAGCCACCUGGGAAGUACGGCCGCAAGGCUGAAACUUAAAGGAAUUGGCGGGGGAGCAC